rnacentral:lncRNA from 1 species
CUGAAUGAUCCGGAAUGGACCAAUCUUCUUGGCGUCAAGCUUUUUCUGUCCUCCAGCACGCUCCUUGCGUAAAUACACCAUAACUUGAUCACCGACAUUGAAGGACUUGAAACGCCUAUAUUUAUCAGCUGUAGCUUUAUAUUUGUCAUCGGCUUCUGUAAGGUAUUGUUGUACCUGUUUGAAAACAUCCACGUGCUGCUUUGCCAAGUUGC